CAAAUUAGAACUUGAUUAGAAAGUAUUUUAUUUACAUUAAAAUGUUGAUGUGAGAUUCAUUAUAAUUUGA
rnacentral:tRNA from 1 species